UACAGAGGUCCCGAGCGUUGUUCGGAUUCAUUGGGCGUAAAGGGUGCGUAGGUGGCGCCGUAAGUGGGGUGUGAAAUCCCGGGGCUUAACCCCGGGACUGCAUUCCAUACUGCGGUGCUUGAGGACUGGAGAGGAGACUGGAAUUUACGGUGUAGCAGUGAAAUGCGUAGAGAUCGUAAGGAAGACCAGUGGCGAAGGCGGGUCUCUGGACAGUUCCUGACGCUGAGGCACGAAGGUCAGGGGAGCAAACGGG
rnacentral:rRNA from 1 species